rnacentral:rRNA from 1 species
GACGAACGCUGGCGGCGUGCCUAAUACAUGCAAGUAGAACGCUGAAGCUUGGUGCUUGCCCCGAGCGGAUGAGUUGCGAACGGGUGAGUAACGCGUAGGUAACCUGCCUGGUAGCGGGGGAUAACUAUUGGAAACGAUAGCUAAUACCGCAUAAGAGUAGAUGUUGCAUGACAUUUGCUUAAAAGGUGCAAUUGCAUCACUACCAGAUGGACCUGCGUUGUAUUAGCUAGUUGGUGAGGUAACGGCUCACCAAGGCAACGAUACAUAGCCGACCUGAGAGGGUGAUCGGCCACACUGGGACUGAGACACGGCCCAGACUCCUACGGGAGGCAGCAGUAGGGAAUCUUCGGCAAUGGACGGAAGUCUGACCGAGCAACGCCGCGUGAGUGAAGAAGGUUUUCAGAUCGUAAAGCUCUGUUGUAAGAGAAGAACGAGUGUGAGAGUGGAAAGUUCACACUGUGACGGUAUCUUACCAGAAAGGGACGGCUAACUACGUG